CGCUCAGAUUGAACGCUGGCGGCAUGCCUUACACAUGCAAGUCGAACGGUAACAGCACUUCGGUGGCUGACGAGUGGCGAACGGGUGAGUAAUACAUCGGAACGUGCCCGAUCGUGGGGGAUAACGGAGCGAAAGCUUUGCUAAUACCGCAUACGAUCUACGGAUGAAAGCAGGGGACCCUCGGGCCUUGCGCGAACGGAGCGGCCGAUGGCAGAUUAGGUAGUUGGUGGGAUAAAAGCUUACCAAGCCGACGAUCUGUAGCUGGUCUGAGAGGACGACCAGCCACACUGGGACUGAGACACGGCCCAGACUCCUACGGGAGGCAGCAGUGGGGAAUUUUGGACAAUGGGCGAAAGCCUGAUCCAGCAAUGCCGCGUGCAGGAUGAAGGCCUUCGG
rnacentral:rRNA from 1 species